rnacentral:sRNA from 15 species
CAAAACACAAUGCUUGUAAAGACAUUGCGUUGCAUACCGGCCGACCCCGUCGUCCCCCCUGGUCGUCGAAAUUGGCGUCAUCCAGAGUCGUCAGAGGUAGCUGCAAUUAGCACCUCGUCGUCGUUGUGGCUGUGGCUGCCCGCUUGGAGAACCAGUGGCACUGGUCCGGCCACCAGUUGGGAGCCAGGAUUGACGGCACACAUAUUACUGUGGCGACACGGGUCCGGCCGCCAAAGUGAAAUGGAUGUGAGUGUGUGUGUGCGUCGGCAAUUGUGGCCCUGAUGUAGAGCGAGUGGCACUGUUCCGGCCACCAGCUGUGGGCAAUGGUGGACAAUGACACACUUAACUCGAACGGCACAGGUCCGGCCGCCCAAGUGUAUUGGUUGUGUGUGUGUGUGUGUGUCUGAAUGGCUGGCGACCAUAGGGCACUCUGAAUGCCAUGGCACUGGAUCUGGCCACCAACUAAGGACGAUGGCGAUGGCAUAACUCGAACGGCACAGGUCCGGCCGCCCAAGUGUAGUGGAUGUUUGUUGGCAGAGAUGUGUCCAGUUAGUACACAGCGUUCCAGGAUAUCUGGUUGUCAAGAAGGUA